UACGUAGGUGGCAAGCGUUGUCCGGAUUUACUGGGCGUAAAGGGCGUGCAGGCGGUUUGUUAAGUGCAGGGUGAAAGCUCCCGGCUCAACUGGGAGAGGUCCUUGCAUACUGGCGAACUCGAGGGAGGCAGAGGAAAGUGGAAUUCCCGGUGUAGUGGUGAUAUGCGUAGAUAUCGGGAGGAACACCUGUGGCGAAGGCGGCUUUCUGGGCCUUACCUGACGCUGAGACGCGAAAGCGUGGGAGGCAACCGG
rnacentral:rRNA from 1 species